rnacentral:rRNA from 1 species
UACGUAGGGUGCAAGCGUUUAAUCGGAAUUACUGGGCGUAAAGCGUGCGCAGGCGGCUUUGCAAGACAGAUGUGAAAUCCCCCGGGCUUAACCUGGGGAACUGCAUUUGUGACUGCAUGGCUAGAGUACGGCAGAGGGGGGAUGGAAUUCCGCGUGUAGCAGUGAAAUGCGUAGAUAUGCGGAGGAACACCGAUGGCGAAGGCAGUCCCCUGGGCCGAAACUGACGCUGAGGAGCGAAAGCGUGGGGAGCAAACAGG